GGGGCCUUAGCUCAGUGGUCAGAGCGGGCGGCUCAUAACCGCCGGGUCGCUGGUUCGAUCCCAGCAGGCCCCA
rnacentral:tRNA from 1 species